AUACUCACCUGGCAAGGGUACUAUGAUCAGGAAGGUGGUUCACUCAGGGUGAGGCCCAGCCAUUGCACUGUGGCUGUGCUGACCCCUGCCAAUUCCCCAAAUGUGGGAAUCUCCUCUGCAUCAUUUCUGGUAGUGGGGGGACUGAGUUCACAACUCACCUCUG